UACGUAGGGGGGCAAGCGUUGUCCGGAUUUAUUGGGCGUAAAGAGCGUGUAGGCGGCUUUACAGGUCCGUUGUGAAAACUCGAGGCUCAACCUCGAGACGCCGGUGGAAACCGUAAGGCUAGAGUCCGGAAGAGGAGAGUGGAAUUCCUGGUGUAGCGGUGAAAUGCGCAGAUAUCAGGAGGAACACCUAUUGCGAAGGCAGCUCGCUGGGACGUAACUGACGCUGAGACGCGAAAGCGUGGGGAGCAAACAGG
rnacentral:rRNA from 1 species